rnacentral:rRNA from 1 species
GUGGGGAAUUUUGGACAAUGGGCGCAAGCCUGAUCCAGCAAUGCCGCGUGCAGGAAGAAGGCCUUCGGGUUGUAAACUGCUUUUGUACGGAACGAAACGGUCCUGGCUAAUAUCCGGGGCUAAUGACGGUACCGUAAGAAUAAGCACCGGCUAACUACGUGCCAGCAGCCGCGGUAAUACGUAGGGUGCGAGCGUUAAUCGGAAUUACUGGGCGUAAAGCGUGCGCAGGCGGUGCUGUAAGACAGGCGUGAAAUCCCCGGGCUCAACCUGGGAAUUGCGCUUGUGACUGCAGUGCUGGAGUGCGGCAGAGGGGGAUGGAAUUCCGCGUGUAGCAGUGAAAUGCGUAGAUAUGCGGAGGAACACCGAUGGCGAAGGCAAUCCCCUGGGCCUGCACUGACGCUCAUGCACGAAAGCGUGGGGAGCAAACAGGAUUAGAAACCCCGGUAGUCC